UUAAACGGGCGUCCAGGGGUCGCGGGAAUGYCAUUCGACGUUCCACCUUCCUGUACUGAAGAUCACCUUCAUUUCUUCACAACGAACUCUUCUGUGUUAACGCGAAACUCACUUAAAUGGUUUCUAUCGUAAUUUACGACCUACCGAGUACCAAGUAUCGAAUCACUGCCACAAACAAUGGCGUUUCAAGACAAUUCAACCAAGACCGCCACAGCCGUCAUUUCGUCUACUACCKGUGACUUCUUGUUCUACAUGGGAUAUUGAUGUAUUAUAGCUGCUACUACAAGUCGGUCUAGUUGGAAUAUUUCAAUAAGUAACCUAAUGGUUAACGCAKGCGUUAAACACUUGGGGCCAAAACAAAAAAUGGCGACGGAUUAAUGUUAUGACAUGGAACAUUAAGACAAAUCAGUCACGACCGCUGCAACCGCAAUCAACAC